rfam:Ciona savignyi cont_40254, whole genome shotgun sequence.
GUCGUCGUGGCCGAGUGGUUAAGGCGACAGACUUGAAAUCUGUUGGGCUCUGCCCGCACAGGUUCGAAUGCUGUCGGCGACG